rnacentral:rRNA from 1 species
UACAGAGGGUGCGAGCGUUAAUCGGAAUUACUGGGCGUAAAGCGCGCGUAGGUGGCUAUGCAAGUCGGAUGUGAAAUCCCCGGGCUCAACCUGGGAACUGCAUUCGAGACUGCAUUGCUCGAGUAUGGGAGAGGGAAGUGGAAUUUCCGAUGUAGCGGUGAAAUGCGUAGAUAUCGGAAGGAACAUCAGUGGCGAAAGCGACUUCCUGGACCAAUACUGACACUCAAGUGCGAAAGCGUGGGGAGCAAACAGG